GGAUGUGAGGUGGAUCUGGCUGUGACACCAGUCACCCCAUUGAUAGCUAGGGUUGAUUCAGCUGAUCUGGUUGGCUAGUCCGAUGUCCCCUUCCUCCCGCACUGCUCCAUGUUGAAGAGGCCGACCUUCCCCAAAUAGAGGAGGACUGGUCUUUAGUCAAGGGUGUACAAAUAGCUGUAGUCCCCUGCUAGAACCGCCUAACAAGCUCUCAGGAAUACAAGUAUUUCAAGAUAGAAUAUCUAGAUGCCCUUGUUAAAUCAAGGCUUUAGCUGUCAAGUUAAUUGGUUGAGCUAGAAGC
rnacentral:snRNA from 1 species